UACAGAGGGUGCAAGCGUUGUUCGGAAUUAUUGGGCGUAAAGGGCGCGUAGGCGGUGCGGUAAGUCUGCGGUGAAAUCUCCCGGCUCAACUGGGAGGCUGCCGUGGAAACUGCCGUGCUUGAGUGUGGGAGAGGUGAGUGGAAUUCCCGGUGUAGCGGUGAAAUGCGUAGAUAUCGGGAAGAACACCCGUGGCGAAGGCGGUUCUCUGGGACGGUACUUACGCUGAGACGCGAAAGCGUGGGGAGCGAACCGG
rnacentral:rRNA from 1 species